rnacentral:lncRNA from 1 species
GCGGGCUGCCCCCGGGACCCUCCUGUGGCGCGUCGGGAGCCCCGCGCCGCGUCCAGACAAGCGCAGCGCUCGAGUCCCUGCGUGGGGUCGGCGCCCGGGCUCCCCUCCUGCACGCCGUCCCACCCUGUGCUCCCUGGGCCUGGGCCCUGCCCGCCGCGCGCUGGGCCGGGCUGCGUCCGGGGGUCCCCGCGGCAGGGCGCGGGCAGGGCGCGGGCCGGCAGGGCGCGCGCGCCGACGGUCUUUUGUCUGAUAACUAAUUUGAGUUAAUGCGAUCUUUAUGUAAAGCUAACAGCGGAUAAUUGUCUAUUUUCUCGCCAACAAUCUCCAUCACAAUCACUUAUCUGGAAACCUGCGGCUGGAUUAAUCGUUAUAUUCCCGAGAUAAGCGUCGCCGCAAUCCGCAGCGAAUAAGGCACUCCGUCUCCACUCUCCUCUCCCUACUUCGUCCGUGGGCUGGAAAUUUUUCCCAGGAGAAGGCAGUCAACACGGAGACGGGCACCAGGCCAGUUCCUAGCCCGGAGCUGAGAAUUAAGCGUCGAGGUUGAAGGCUGCAGAAGGCCGAGGUCUCCCCAGGGCCCCGUGGACUCUCGGGUUCGCCCCGAGGUCUCCCCAGCAAGCUCUCAGGCCUCCACCAUGUGACUCGCAGCCUCUGGAGGUGCCUUAGUUUUACCUUGGUUUCUUGACAAACUAAGGGAUCAGGAUUUGGAAGGAGAAUGGAGCCAGAUGUUGUUUUCGUAAGCACAGCAAGCAGAACAGGGAAAUAAACAGAGAAAAGGCCCUAUAGGGUGUCUUGUUUGGUUGGGGUGAAGGUGGAGGCCUCCGUCUCAAUCCAGGAAAAGCCGUAGGCAGGCUCUUUGCAAAUAUGGACACCUUUGGGGGAAUUGAACUAGAAUACCUUUUUUCUCCCCAGAAAAUUGUAUGAUUUAGGCCUGGACCCUGGGUUGCUCUUGAAGUCUCUGCAAGUCUUGCACCCGGGCCUGGCCUUGGGGCAGAGAGCCUCUCCAGGGCCCGCCCAGCGCCCUGUGCGCCCCAAGCCAGCCAUGGCUGGGGAGGCGUACUGUGGAGGUCCUGGUUAUAGUGGGUGGGCACACAGGACAAUGUCAGCUCCAGGGAGACGGCGUUGUUGCCAGGUGGCUCACCGUGUCUCUCCAGGGUGUAGACAGCUCCUGGUUCAUUGUAGGUGUCCAACAUAUGUUUGCUGAAAGGCUGAAAAGGCCCUUGCCACGGUGGAGCUGCUGGCCUGGCAGAGUGGACCACAGCAGGGCCAGCGCCCUGGGGGCUGGGGAGGGGUCCUGAGCUUGCCUCCCUCCCCUUCUCACACACGUUCAAUCUUACGCUCGCCGUGCCUGUUCUUACACACACACGAUUCACGUGCUGUGCACUCAUGCACACUCACACAAAUACCCAGAGUCUCUAACACACACAGACGCAUGUAUGCAGAGACACACACACAUCCACUGUCACACGUGAGUGACAUGCAGUCACACACACACCAUUCCCCUGGGGGCCCGCAGUCACAGGCUGGCUGAGUGCUGGCGGCGGCUUGUGCCUGGCUCCUCGGGAGGAGAAGUCAAAUAGGUCAGAAGAAUAUUCUCUUAGGUACACACACGUGGGUGAGGGAUCCAGUCCUCCUGGGAAUUCAACAAAUGCAGCAAAAAAGUGACAUCAGUGCAGCACAGGGCGGUUACUUCUGAGCUCUUUCUUCUGAGCGUCAGAGCCAGGUCACUGUCCCAGCUUGCUAGAGUGGGUCGAGUUAUCACUUUGUUCCCAACGCUUCCAAGUUGCUACUUUCUCCCAGUGUAAUUUCCUUGGCUGCCCAUGUAGACCUCUGUUAUACAAUAUGAUAGCCACUAGCCACACGUGGCUACUGAGCACUUACAGUGUGACCAGGUGUGCUGUGACUGUGCAAGACACGCCCGAUUAUAAGGUGUGGUAUGGGGGCUGGCCUGGGAGCACAGCAGUUAAGUUCGCACGUUCCGCUUUGGGCCCUGACCUGUUCGCUGGUUUGGAUCCCAGGCAUGGACCUGCACACCGCUUGUGAAGCCAUGCUCUGGCAGGCAUCCCACAUAUAAAAUGAAGGAAGACUGGCAUGGAUGUUAGCUCAGGGCCAGUCUUUCUCAGCAAAAAGAGGAUUGGCAGCUGAUGUUAGCUCAGGGCUAGUCUUCCUCAAAAUUAUUUUUAAGAAAAUAAUAAAAUAAAAAAUAAAGGUGUAGUAUGAAAGAAAGCAUGUAAAAUGCCUCAUUAAUCAUUUUUAAAUAUUGAUUUCAUGUUGAAAUGAUACUUUUGAUAUAUUCAGUAAAAUAAAAUCCAUUCUUGAAAUUAAUUUCACUUGCUUCUUUUUACUUUUUCAAAAUGUAGCUAUUAGGAAAUUUAAACUGACCACUGACCUGUGUGGCUCCUGUUGGUGGCUUAUAUUGU